CGUGUGGAUCCUUUUCAGGAAGAAGUAGGAAAAAACCCUAGAGAGCAAACGAGGGUUCAACCGCUACAGUUGGAGGAGAUAUACGCCGAUGCUUCUUCUUCUUCAGCCUUCAUCACCAUGAACAUUCUAAAUCCCUAGCAACCUAGAUUCCUCGAGCUCAGCCAGUCGUCAACCAGCCCAGAAGCAGCCAUGAACGACCACCAUUAACGCCACUGCUUCGUCUUCCACAUGUUGCCUCU
rnacentral:lncRNA from 1 species